GAUGAACGCUAGCGGGAGGCCUAACACAUGCAAGCCGAGCGGUAGAGAUCUUUCGGGAUCUUGAGAGCGGCGUACGGGUGCGGAACACGUGUGCAACCUGCCUUUAUCAGGGAGAUAGCCUUUCGAAAGGAAGAUUAAUAUCCCAUAAUAUAAUGAUUGGCAUCAAUUAUUAUUGAAAGCUCCGGCGGAUAGAGAUGGGCACGCGCAAGAUUAGAUAGUUGGUGAGGUAACGGCUCACCAAGUCAGUGAUCUUUAGGGGGCCUGAGAGGGUGAUCCCCCACACUGGUACUGAGACGCGGACCAG
rnacentral:rRNA from 1 species